UACGGAGGGUGCAAACGUUGCUCGGAAUCAUUGGGCGUAAAGCGCGUGUAGGCGGCUUGUUAAGUCGCGUGUGAAAGCCCUGGGCUUAACCCAGGAAUUGCGCGCGAAACUGGCGAGCUAGAGUACGGGAGAGGGUAGCGGAAUUCCCGGUGUAGAGGUGAAAUUCGUAGAGAUCGGGAGGAACACCAGUGGCGAAGGCGGCUACCUGGACCGAUACUGACGCUGAGACGCGAAAGCGUGGGGAGCAAACAGG
rnacentral:rRNA from 1 species